rnacentral:hammerhead_ribozyme from 1 species
AUCCGACUGAAGAGUCCCAAAUAGGACGAAACGUGCGUCCUGGAU